UCCAGACACCAGGCCCAGAAGCCUCUGGAGACCAAGCAACCAUGACUCCAGCAGACAAGAUAGGCACUGUGAGAUACAGCGCAUUCUUCAGAGGAAAGCUGGCACACAGAGGCAAUGCCUUCUCUGGGCCUCAGAGCGUGCAGGACCUCUCUCAAUGCCUGGCGACUGUGUUUGAAGUGUUCUCUUACAGUCUUCAAAUUAAAUCUUCCUUGAGGUCUAGUUUGAUGUUAGGGAAAUAGUGUGUAAUUGACCACAUUUCCUCCCCGUUCAAAAAAAAAUUAGCUUUCAGUAAAAAUCUCCUGGGAAAUACACAAACAUAAUGCAAACAUUUUCCCAUCUCACGAUCAGACCUCAGAUGCCCCUUAAAGGCAACAGAUACAGCAAAUAGCUAGAGCUCCCCAAACAGCUGCCCAGCAGUGAAUCAUGCAUGAGCUAGAACUCUCCCAGUCCACAAUAGCCAACUCCAUACUUCAUGUCCUUUCUCCUGGACUACAAGAAAUGUAAGUAUCCAAGAGAGUUUGAGAACAUGUAUGGAGAAUGUGGCAUAUUAUUGUCGCUCCGGGUUCCAUGAAGUCUUUUCCAGUAUUUAUUUACAAUUCUGAGUUUUUUGAGUACAACACUGAACUUCUAAAACAACACCUACAAUUUAUACCUUGUGUACACCUUCAGCACGCCUUACACUGAGGCAGAGGGCUAUGUGUUUGCAGCGUCUCACAAAUUGUUUCUCUAUAUGCGUUUACACUGGGCGAGCACUUUAUCUGUGCCAGACCCUGUGCUGAACUCUAUGAGCAGAACAGACUGAGUCCCUGAAAACAAAAAAUACAACUGUCGCCAAUUCGUCCCGGUAUUUUAUGCACAGACUUCUGCAAGACUAAUUUAAGCCUGUUUCGCUAAAAUCCAAUCCCAUAACUCCCUGUUUUGCCAACAGAGUAGGUAAACAGCAGCCAAUCACUAUCCUCUCCAAAAUAGCCCGCCCGAAACUUCAAGUACUCAAAGUUCUAAUCUCUUAUUAAAAAUAAACCUUUCUCUGCUAAGAGAUUACAUUUGAUGCAUGAAGCAAGCCAGUAAAAUGUUUUUCUAUGUCAUCACAUUGUCAUUGUUAUGAAAAGAUAGAAUAUGAAUUCUCAACCACAAUAGAAGAAUAAAGCAAAAGAUGACUCGUGCAAUCAGUCAGUUUCUUAGACAUUAAUCUGCAGUGUAUUACUGAUACUGCUAUUCUAAGAAAAUAAAUAUAACAGAACAAUUAUCACUUGUAUUAGCCGAGGGAAAAUAACUAACCGUUCUCCACGUCUAUGACAGAGCUGAGAGCCCUGCCCCCAGAGAAAUCGAGACACACUGUCACGGAACCACAUUAUAUCCCUUAAGAAGACCAUAAAAUGUGUCCAUCAUUCAUUCAUUGGCAUUGAACUUGUGCCAAAACUAUUAAGAAUACAUAUUAAUAGAUCCUCCAAACGUGUAGGAACGAAUGCUGAACAAAAUACAAAAUGAGACUGCUACUCGUUAUUAAUUUGUCUUUUAUAAAUGAUUAAGGAAAGCAUGUGAGAAAAGUGAAAGGGCAAUAAAUAUUGUUUUAUCACAAACUUGGGGGUUCCUCGCACUCUGUGCAUGAACCGGUCAGGAUAGAAAUAUUUAUAAUUACCUAUGGUUAGCAUACCGCUGCUUAAAUGUACGACUAUGAGUGUGAAGGCAAUCUCCUUGACCUCCUAUCUUGGCCUGCCUAGGAAUUCCUGUGUUUUCCUUAAUCAACUGUUUUACUGUGUGAAUCAUGCUGUGCGGGUCAACUUUUACCAGGAUAAGUGACCUCUCCCUUACUCUAAAACAUGCUUACAUGCAUAUGAACAGCAUAUGUUCAGGAAAUAUGAUCAGAGCUGCUCUUUAAGGGCUUUUUAAAAUCUGAAGCCUGUGUAUUGGGAUAAAUACAUGUAUAUAUAAUAUAAUAUUGCAUAUAUAUAUAAAGCUAAGGUAAAAUGUGUGUUAUUUGGCAGCUGAAUUUGACAUGAAAAUAUAAAAGGUUUGGGCAACCACAUAUUUGGAAAUAGAAAUCUUUCCUUAAAACAUGGCUUUGGUUUUUAAACAUAGCUAAAUUUCUGGAAACUUCAAUUUGUUAAAGACAGCCAAGACUUCAAUCAUAUUUAACAUAUUCCUGGGGUUUACAUAUAGUGUUUCAAAGUAAUAAACAACAUGUUGUUUGGAGCGGCAAGAAGAAAACUGAAGCAAGCACUUCUUUAGGAGUAAAAGCUCCCCUUUUGAGAAUAGUUUGGAGACUAGCUCUUCUGUUGGUGAAAUGACAAAACACAAUUCAGCAAACAAAACAUGAUGAGCUCAAUUCAAGUCAGUAAACAUUUUUAGCUGGCUUCGCUCCGGAGUAAGAAUUUUAAUGUAAUGAUACUUUCAACAAUGCAUCCAUUAAAAUGGAAACUUGAGGGGCGAAACUUGCCUGACUCUUAAUAAGAACAACGGUGUCAAAUUUGCACUUCAGAAAUCAGAAGGGAUGCGAUGACACUGAUUGGAGAAUUUUUAAACUCUCAGAACGGUUCGUGGAAAUGAAUUUACAUUUACUCAGAAGCACUCUCGAAUGCACUGACCACACGGGCCUGAUUCACUAAAAAAGAAUUUCCUCCUGUAAGGUAAGAUCUAUCUGUACCUUAUCUGUUCCAUAGAAACUGUCCCUUGGACAUUAUAGAAAAGGCUAUAAAUCCUUUUCAUGCAUUCCCUCGUUGGCUCAAACGUAAGUACCGACGUCUAGAAACGUGCUACUUAGUAAAAACAAACACUGUCCAAGCCUCAGAACAUGAAUCAAAGUUAACCUGUCUGCGGAUAGGAAAAGAAGCCAGUUCAUGGUUUCCUUCUUUCUCUUCAAACAGAGCCUGAUAAACAGAACCACUGUCUUACAAGCAACUGUGGGUUCGUACCCAGAUAACUCAGAGAUCCUUACCUAAUAAGCAUCCGAAUAUCUCUCUCCGACAACUAGUAUUCUCCAACAUCCCCCACCCCCAUACUCUUGCUAACUUUUGAGAUAAGACUUGGGUAAUCUAAAACACAGAAAUUCAACUAAAAGUGCAAAAGUUGGUGAGGCUGAACCCCUUUCCUAUUUUCUAUUUCGAAACUCAUAUAGAAGAGGAGGUUGGAGGCACAGGGUUUAUCGAUGGUUCUGGUGGAGUACACUUCCACAGGCUGCUGUGGUCUACUUGUCCCUUCCCCAGGGACCAUCUCAUGCCUCCUCAGAGGACCUUCCCCUAGAGACCCUACCUAAGAGUCCAGACCCUUCUCACUUCCUACCCUUUCCCGUUUGAUAAUUUCCCCUCAUGUUUACCAUCACUGAAUAUAGUCUGUAUUUUAUCAACUUAAUCUUUAUUUCUUUCUACUCAAGCAUCGGUCUGUUUUUUUUCCCCUUUGCUAAAUUACCAAUAUCAAAGCGAAGUCUGGCACAGAUAAGACUACGAAAGUUAAUCAUGAAUAGCAAUAGUAUUCACAUUACUAUUCCUGUCAGCCUGACAUCUACAUAGGUGCUAGGGGUUUAGUUUACAUGGAAAGCACAUUCUAAGCUUGCCUAAGACCCUGGCAAAAAAAAAAUUCAAAAGUAAUAAUAAAGGGUUGAUAGUCUGAUCUGAAGAUUGAAGGAGCCAGAGGAUAUCCCACCAUAACUGACAUCCGCAUGGGCCUGUGUGACUAUUACAUGCCUUUCACAGGUAGAAUAGUGGGGAAAAGGGUAACUCAGAACUCACAGUAAGUGGUCAGUUCUCAAGAGAAAUGAACCAAGCCUAGCAUCGUGUUGCAAGUUUGCAUAUCAUCUAAGGACCUCAAACAUCAGUCACUCACAUGCAUUUUUCUUCAUCUCAUACCAGGCCCUGGGAUUCAGACGGGGUUCUCAAGAUUUGCUUUUCGACAGAAAUGAAGACGAAGUAGUGCCCUAUAACUGUCAUUUGUCCACUUCUGUUGGAGCAGAGAGGAGGAAAAGAAAUGCCCUGAGUGAAGAUAAUGAUAAAGCCAGGCUGGGUGACUCAUGGCUGUAACCGUAGAACUAAAGCAGCAGAAUCUCUACAAGUUUAAGGUCAGCUUGGGCUACAUAACAAAACCAGGCCAGUCUCCAGCAAAAGAUGAGGAAACUGAGGCACAGAAGUACAACCAAGGCUGACGCUUAGCCGUGACUGAGUCGGGAUGCGACCUCACUUCCUGCAGCUUGCCAAUGAGGCUAUUCAUCCACCAGAUGUGGGCGUCGAACUCCUCAGGUCACUGCCAACGCCAACACCCUUCAGUGCUGGGCUGAUUGAUUGUUUUGUAAUCUACUUACUUGUAUUUUGGCUCUCACCUAAAGACCUCUGGAAGAAGAGUGGAGAGCAAUGACAAAAGGGACACAAGAAGAGAUGUGAGGCAUUAAAACAGAUGGAGAUGAGAACAUAUAAGGAUUAAUUAUUCACAGAUAAAGGCAUCUGAUGUGUCUCCUCAUGAACAGCCUUCCCAGUAUCUAAUAGCCCGGAUCAAAUCCUGGAUGGAUACUCUAAAACUAGAGUAUAUAAAUUAAAGUAUAAAAUGUAAAUACAUAUUAAAAAUUCUACAAUCGCUAUAAUGUUUCUUGUUCAUUAUUACCAUGGAUUUUAUCAAACGCCAGCAUAUGACUUAUAAGAAAAAUAACUGUGUGGCUCCAAUAGUGAUGAAGAAUGACAGAAUUGUUAUAAUGGAGUAGCUCUUCAUUGAUGUCUGAACAUUCUGUGAUCCAGUGUUGCCCACUUUACAUAAGCUAUAAGUCAGAAUUAAAAUAAAUAACAAAGGGGACAAAUACUGGUUCAGGGGCUACUGGACAACUUUACUAUAAAUGUGUAGAUUUAGACAAAUUCCCACGCUACUGAAGCUUUAAUAGAGUCUCACGCUAUCAGAUAAGCGGUGCCCUUCAGCUGGCAGCGACUUGGUCUGCAUUGCUGAAGAUCCAUAGGCACAGUUUAACAGGCUCAAUUCUGAGCUCGCCAAUACCGUGUGAUCUUGUACUGCCACGUAACGUCUCAGUGGCGGUGUCACAGCCUGAAAAGAAUCUCACUAUUUGUUCAAAAUUGUCUAGUGAGUCUGAGCUGACAGGUUUUCAGGUGACUACACUGGUUUCCAGCUAACACAGUGCAAGGCACAGGAAGAACCUUCUGAGAAGGCAGCUGUCACAGGCAGUGUGGUAAGCUGUGAAGGUAACACCCUGAUUCGAUUCAGAGAGCCUAAGUCGAAAUCUGUUUCAGAGUUUCGUGUUUGGAUGACCCACGAAUGGGCUGGUUCCGAUUUCUUCUUUCGUUUUUUUUUGCAAAAUGAAUGUCAUAACAUUGGUUCUUGCUGCUGUUAUAAAAAUUAAGUGAGGUAAUACACAUAAAUGCUGAGAGCACUGCCAAUUUUCCCUACGCCUACAAGUCCUUGCCUCUUCAUCCAUUCACUUAUUAAGGCUGUGCAUGGAAAUAUGGGAGAAAUAGAACCAUUCACUCUUGUCUCAAUAAAAAUAGUUGACAGGAGGAGAAAGAAAGAGAGAUUAGGAUGAAAAGACAAGAACCCAAAAAAGAGAGAAAAUUGGUGCCUGGGGAUGGAAAGAAAAGGGAAAAUUUUUCCUUUAAGUCUUUAAACAGGUGGUAGUCUAGCUCACAGACAGUAGAGUGCUUGUCUAGCACAUGUGAAGCCAGGAGUUCAGUCCCCGCUAAAUGAAGCUCUACCUGCCUGUGGUCCCAGCAUUGAAGUGGGAGGAACAGCAGCUCAGGACUUCUCUGCUGUCUAGCCACUAGCAAACCAACUUGGCUGUAUGAGCCUCGUCAAAACACAUAGUGGCUCUUCAGAUAUGGGCUUUCUGUAUGGGCCUGGUAACAUGAGUUCUCCUUUCCCAAAGGGGAUGGAGAAAACAAACUUCAGAAAGUUGUCCUGUGACUUCUACUUGCCGAUUACAUACAUACAUCAUAUGCACACAUACACACACAGG
rnacentral:sRNA from 1 species